UGGAGCCCCAGGUGGGUGGAGGUCUGCGCAGUUGGAACCUCUGUUUAGUGGAGCUUACCCAACUCACCAGGGCUCUCUCCUCUGUGCUUUUUGAGGAUGAGAGAACCAAGCCGAAUGUCUUUUACGAAAAGCCCCAAUCAGCCGGGCGCUGUGGCACACACCUGAAAUCCCAGUGGCUCUGGAGGCUGAGGCAGGAGGAUUGUGAGUUCAAAGCCAGCCUCAGCAACAUAGCAAGGUCUAAGUUACUUAGUGAGACUCUUGUCUCUAAAUAAAAUAUAAAAAUGGGUGGGGAUAUGACUCAGUGGUUAAGUAUCCCUGGGUUUAAUCCCGGUAUCAAAAAAGAAAACAAAAAGGAAAAGAAAAGCCUCAGCCAACUUAAGUGUCCUUCAAACAGACGGAUGGAUAAAGAAAGCCUUGUGUAUGUGCACAAUGGUGUACUACUGAACCAUAAAGAAGAAUGAAUUUAUGACAUGAGCCAGCAAAUGGCUGGAUCUGGUGACGAUCAUGCUAAGUGAACCAAGUCAAUCCCCAUAAACCAAAGGUCAAAAGUUUCCUCUGCUAUGUGGAAGCUAACCCACAGCAAAGCACCAGGGGAUUAAGAAAGAAGUUCAGGGGUGUAGACAAAGGGGAAUGAAGGGAAGGCAACAAAAGGGAUCGGACCUAACUUGCCUAUGUACAUACAUGAAUACACACAGUGAAUCCCACCAUCAGGUACACCCAUAGGGAAUCAAUCAAAGAAAUAGGUAUGGGUAAAUGACAGAAAGUUCAGCAGAGGGAAGGGAGUAGUGGUGGGGGGAGGUUAGGAGAAGUACUGGGGACUGAAUUAGAACAAGAUAC
rnacentral:lncRNA from 1 species